rnacentral:rRNA from 1 species
UACGAAGGGGGCUAGCGUUGCUCGGAAUCACUGGGCGUAAAGCGCACGUAGGCGGCUUUCUAAGUCAGGGGUGAAAUCCUGGAGCUCAACUCCAGAACUGCCUUUGAUACUGGAAAGCUUGAGUUCGGGAGAGGUGAGUGGAACUGCGAGUGUAGAGGUGAAAUUCGUAGAUAUUAGGAAGAACACCAGUGGCGAAGGCGGCUCACUGGUCCGGUACUGACGCUGAGGUGCGAAAGCGUGGGGAGCAAACAUG